AGUUUCAGAGCGCUACGACAUCGGUCUCGAAGAUCGCUGGGUCGCCACCGUUUGGUGUGGCGGCCUUGGCCGUUCAUCACAGUUCGCUCGUUAAUUAAAAACUAUUUCAACUUCAAGAACCCAUUUAAUUCUUCAAAGAAAUCUGACUACAAGAAAAAUUUCAAUUAUCCAACUAGUAAACUAUAGUUUAACUGCUAGUUACCAGAAACCAACUCAAGCUCUCAUCAGCAAAUAAUUUUGGUUGUGACAAAAGCAAAAGGAAAUAGAUUCUAGAUCGAACUCAAGCUCAACAAGUUCACAGACAACCUAUGAGUCACCAAAAAGUCAAUAUUGUUUCCGACAAAACCAAAACAACUUAGCAAAUAUUUUUCAUUUCCAUUUGGGAAGAAAAAAAUACACAAAAUGAUGUGAAAAUGAAGGUGUCAAUAACUGUCUUUAAAGUAAAAAACAAAGAAGUGUCUCCCGCAAGAAACAGAAGUAUCCCAUAAAAGAAUAGAUCAACAUUUGAGAGCUGCAACAACACCCAGAAUGAAGUGUCAAAUCUACUACUACUAAAACUAAAAAAAUAUACGGAAAAAUCUUUUGAUCCAAUUAACCAUUGGGAUUUAAUGCAAGAAAUCUAAAGAUCAAGGAUAACUUUCUUCAAAAUAUAACUACUUCCAAAAGAGGA